AUGGUGUUGCUGCAAUGCUCUCAGG
rnacentral:piRNA from 1 species